rnacentral:rRNA from 1 species
AUACGGAGGGUCCAAGCGUUAUUCGGAUUCAUUGGGUUUAAAGGGUCCGCAGGCGGGAAAAUAAGUCAGUGGUGAAAGCCUACAGCUCAACUGUAGAACUGCCAUUGAUACUGUUUUUCUUGAGUAUAGAUGAAGUGGGCGGAAUAUAUCAUGUAGCGGUGAAAUGCAUAGAUAUGAUAUAGAACACCGGUUGCGAAGGCAGCUCACUAAACUAUUACUGACGCUCAGGGACGAAAGCGUGGGGAGCGAACAGGAUUAGAAACCCUAGUAGUCC